rnacentral:rRNA from 1 species
AUGUGCAUAUUGUUUUUCCUAAGUGAUGUACUUUCCUCCCCAAACAACAUGCUCCGCGUUGAUAUUGCAUGGAUCUUGUUAACAUUUUUUUUAACACCACAACUUUUAGUUAAAAUAAAUUUUGUGAGUUUAAUUUGCACAGAUUGUACAUGGGCCUUUUUAGUAUAUAAUCCACAGAUAUAUAUAUUUGCUCACAUGAUGUAUAGACCUUUCUCAAAUUUGGUUAUGAAAUGUGCUUCCAUCGUGAGGUAUAUUUAUUGGUCAUGUGAUGUAAAUAAUUCUCUCAAAGUAAAAGAAUUCUCUCAAAUUCGGCAAGGGGUGCGAGGAAGAAGAUGA